rnacentral:rRNA from 1 species
AUUGAACGCUGGCGGAAUGCUUUACACAUGCAAGUCGGGCGGCAGCGCGGGGGCAACCCUGGCGGCGAGCGGCGAACGGGUGAGUAACACAUCGGAACGUACCCUGUCGUGGGGGAUAACGAAUCGAAAGAUUCGCUAAUACCGCAUACGACCUGAGGGUGAAAGCGGGGGAUCGCAAGACCUCGCGCGAGAGGAGCGGCCGAUGGCGGAUUAGCUAGUUGGUGGGGUAAAGGCCCACCAAGGCGACGAUCCGUAGCGGGUCUGAGAGGACGGCCCGCCACACUGGGACUGAGACACGGCCCAGACUCCUACGGGAGGCAGCAGUGGGGAAUUUUGGACAAUGGGGGCAACCCUGAUCCAGCCAUUCCGCGUGAGUGAAGAAGGCCUCGGUU